rnacentral:ncRNA from 2 species
AUCUUUGUCACGGUUUUAGGUUUCCAAACAAGAUGUUUUCGAACUGAUUGUGAGGAAUUAAUAGGGAAUUCGGUGUGAAUCCGAAACUGUAUCUGCAGCUGUAACCCUUGCCAAAGCUGUUUCAAAAAGUCACUGUUGGUGCAUUACCGAUGGGAAGACGAAACAGAACUGAGGGGAGUCAGAAUACCUGCCAAAACUUGUUUGAAUGA